GACAGAGGUGCAACGUUGUUCGGAAUUACUGGCGUAAGCGCGUGUAGGCGGCUAAGUAAGUCGGGCGUGAAAUCCCACGGCUCAACCGUGGAAGUGCACUCGAAACUGCAUAGCUAGAGUCCUGGAGAGGAAGGUGGAAUGCUUGGUGUAGAGGUGAAAUUCGUAGAUAUCAAGCGGAACACCGGUGGCGAAGGCGGCCUUACUGGACAGUCGACUGACGCUGAGAC
rnacentral:rRNA from 1 species